AUUGGUGAAGGGCCACCAGCUACAUCUGCACCUACUCUUGCUUCUCUUCCACAAGAGGAGAAAGGCCAAUUGCAGCCUCAACUAGGUGAUGCUGCUGUUGAGAAGGAAGCAGUUGAAGAAGGAGCUAUGGAGUCUGCUGCUGCAAAGAAGAAGAAAAAGAAGAAGGAGAAGGAAAAAGAGAAAAAGGCAGCUGCUGCUGCCUCUAAUGUAGAGGAAAAGCAGGAAGAAACAAAAAAUGACGCAAAAGGAAAAUUGGUAGAUAAAAAACAGUCAAAGCAGGUUAGGGAGAUGCAAGAGAGACUCAAAAAGAUGAAGGAAACUGAAGAAAGGAAGAAGAGGGAAGAGGAGGAAAAGUUAAGGAAGGAAGAAGAGGAACGACGUCUCCAGGAAGAGCUAGAAAAACUUGCAGAAGAGAAGAAACGUUUGAAAAAAGAGAGAGAAAAGGAAAAGCU
rnacentral:lncRNA from 1 species